UACGGAGGAUCCGAGCGUUAUCCGGAUUUAUUGGGUUUAAAGGGAGCGUAGGCGGGUUGUUAAGUCAGUUGUGAAAGUUUGCGGCUCAACCGUAAAAUUGCAGUUGAUACUGGCAUCCUUGAGUACAGUAGAGGUAGGCGGAAUUCGUGGUGUAGCGGUGAAAUGCUUAGAUAUCACGAAGAACUCCGAUUGCGAAGGCAGCCUGCUGGACUGUAACUGACGCAGAUGCUCGAAAGUGUGGGUAUCAAACAGG
rnacentral:rRNA from 1 species